UACGGGGGGGGCAAGCGUUGUUCGGAAUUACUGGGCGUAAAGGGCUCGUAGGCGGCCAACUAAGUCAGACGUGAAAUCCCUCGGCUUAACCGGGGAACUGCGUCUGAUACUGGAUGGCUUGAGGUUGGGAGAGGGAUGCGGAAUUCCAGGUGUAGCGGUGAAAUGCGUAGAUAUCGGGAGGAACACCUGUGGCGAAAGCGGCUCUCUGGACCGUAACUGACGCUGAGACACGAAAGCGUGGGUAGCAAACAGG
rnacentral:rRNA from 1 species